AGGACUCAACGAUUUAGUGAUUGGGUGGAAGAUAUAUGGGCGGGGUAAGAAGAUGAGAGCGUUAUUAUCUUCUAGACAAGGCAGUAUUCGCAUGUGCAAUACCCAGUAAACUGCCAUGAUUCUUUUAAGGCCCGGAAUCUCCUUUUCUUCCUAACCUCCUAAAUGGAGAUGGUGUCCUCCUUUCCCAGACAUCCCCCCCCCCCCAUAUCAGCAUUGGUCUGCCUGCAAUCUCUCUCUUGAACUCACUGCUCUAAUCUCUAACAUCAGGUUUGUUCUCAACUAAUCAAUAAUAUUUCCCAUGACAUGGUGGGGUUUUUCACAGUUCAUUUAUAUUCCUAGAUGGACUGACCUAAUUUUCCUUUCCCCCAAACUAUGGGAAAGUUAAAGACAAAGUUCUCCAAGAAAGGGCUAGUUAUAUUUCACGUGCUCCAAGGAAGUUCACAGAAGACAUUAUGUUUGAAUGCCAGCCCCCUCCCAACAGAGACUUGGGUUCCUGUUACUAUACCUUUAAGAGAGAGGGAUAGAAUUUGGGGGAAUGAUAGUUAACUGUCUUCCAGAAAGUCUGUGAAAGAAGAUGGCAGAUUAGAGGGAGCAACUCAGCUGAUUUCCCCCAACAUUUCUCUCCAAACAGCUUUAAAAUAAUGCCUCAAGUCAAAUUUUGGAGUGGCAGAGCCAACUAAAGAGCAGCAUGAGGCAUUUUUCCAGCCUACAGAAACAUAGUAGGUCUGCAGAAGUUUAUGACACUGGGGUCAAGGUCUGUACAGAGUCCACAAAUACGGCAGCAGCAAUAGCAGUCACAGGAGCACCUCAAGAGUUCUCCAAUCCGAGACAGUGAAGAGGGAAGACCAAGAUACAACUUGGAAGAAGGCACUGUGAAAACAGCUUGGAUUCAAGCCCAAUGAGAAUUCCAAGAAGAGUUAAAGAGAAAACAGCUACACGCAAAGAAAAAGUGUUAAUUGUAUCCAGGCCCAAGAACAAUGAUUAGAAGAGUUAAAGAGGAGAGUGAUAGAGGAAAAAUUGUGAAAAGAAAUGAGAAUGAGGCAAGAAAAUUAUGAAAAGAGAAUUAACAGCUUGCUAAAAGAGGCACCCCAAAUACUAAAGUAAAUAAUAUCUUAAGAAGGCAAUUCUUCUUAUUCACUGAAGAAAAUAACUCCUUAAACAUUAAAAUUGGGUGAGUGGAAGUUAUGACUUCAUGAGACAUCAAGAAACAACAACAACAACAAAAAAAAAAAAGUUAAAAGAGUCUGUGAGGCACUAUGAGAGAAUUGAGAAGUUUUCAAAGGAGACCUCAGAGUUAACUGUCAAUUGAGAAAGUCUCUAAGUAACUUGGAGAGUAAAUUGUCAGUUUUGAGAAAGUCCGGAGAGACAUUUUGAGAGAAUUGAGUUUAAUUCUUAUUUUGUGGAGAAGACAUCUGGGGAAAAAUCCCAAGAGACUUUAACUGCCAUUCUAAGAGAAUGUAAUUGUUAGUUUGUGGUUCCCCGAGGUUUUGGAGAAUCAGCAGAAGUAACUCUGUUUUGUCACCUUUCUCAUAGCUGAUACAUUGUUGAAAUAUUUAUCUAUAGUUCUUAAUUAUUGGUUACUGUUAAUAAAUUAUAUGACUAGGAACACGGA